GCGGUGGCCUCGCUGUGGAGUCGAGUUGCUUUCAUUUACUCACUCUCCUUCCCUCCCGCCUCUUCCUUCUCCUCCGCCUCCCCUUUCCCUCACGCCCUCCCUCUCGACCCUUCUCCCUCCACACUCAUCAUUCGGCACAUCUCUUUUUCGGAACAACUACUGUUGGGUUAAGAGUUCUCUUCCUCUAGCUGCUUCAUCGGUGAGUAUUGUUGCUUGCUGGAGAAACACAAUCAUCAUUUCACUUUGGUUUCACUAUCAAAACUACACCUUACUGCCUGUUUUAUUUCAUUGUUGCACACACACAGCUUCUUCGUUUUGGCCAUCUUCCUCUCUGCCUCUCUCGCUGUCUCUGCGUCCUCCUCCUCCUUGUUUAAAUCGCAGUAAUAUAUUAAAUACAUCCUUUCAUCAGUGACAACAAAGACAGUGUCUUUUAAUCGCUUCACUAUUUCCGCUGACGCACGCACGCACACACACACACACACACACACACACACACACACACACAUACAUACACACACACACACACACACACACACACACACACACACACACACACAUACAAACAAACAAACACACACACACACACACACACACACACACACACACACACACACACACACACAUACACGACAAUUCAAAACAAAGGCAGAACUUCAGCAUAAAUAUAAUCGAUGACCUGGAAGCUAAAUAACAAGAAGAACAACAACAAUAACAACCAACAAGGGUACCGCUAAGUGGUCGUCCAACCAGUUAAAAAUAGCAGUUAAAAAUGUCCUCCAAAAACAUCGCUCUGCUCUCUGAAAUAAGGAGAGCGCAUAUUACAUAACGCUGUCCUCCGCACACCUUGAGGACAGGAUGGACACAGCCCUUUCGAUGUCCAUCAUUCAGUUUGAUCUCCACCUGAACAACAACAGUAAAGCACACGACUGCGCGCGCAUAGACGUACAUACAUACAUACAUACAUACAUACAUACAUACAUACAUACAUACGUAAGUACUAUGUACGUAUGUAAUGUAUGUAUACAUGUAUGUAUGUAUGUAUUAUGUGUACGUUUAUAAAUAAAUUCGAAGACUUUGUUUUCCAUAACAUAUGUACAUGCCCAAAUUAUUUUGGAGAUAUACUAAUUAGAAAAUGCAUGCUUGUUCGUUUGUUAGUGUGUGUAAGUGUGUAUAUACACACACACACACACACACACACACACACACACACAUACAUACAUACCUAUAUAUCUAUCUAUAUAUCGACUGACAGACUGACUGAUAGAUACCUACAUACAUACAUACAUACAUACAUACAUACAUACAUACAUACAUACAUGCAUACACAAACACACAUUCUCUUAGGCACAGUUGUAAAAGAAUAUCAAAGGUAAAUGAGGAGAUAGUAAAAAUAUGGGUUUGUGUAAAUAUUUGAUUAGCCGACAGUCCAGUGUUUCGCUCGCAACCGAUUUAAAGCGUCUGAAUAGCGCGUUGGUCGGUCGGUCGGUCAUAUAGCCGUGAAUACAGGUCCUUCUAAAUUAGACUAGUUUGCAGUACACAGCAGGAUUUUCAUCUUGGGUGAUGCUCACAAAUCAUAUAUUGUCAGGUGGGAAUAGUGAAAUUAGAAACGUAUCAAUUGGCAGUUGAUUGAUUAUAUCGCUUCCAGAUCAAACUGACUGUUACGUGUGUGUGUGUGUGUGUGUGUGUGUUGAUGGGCUUGUUAAUGAUAGCCUUUGAGGUUUAAUGAACGAGAAAGUGAAAUACUGCAAUUAUAGAAAGACAAGACUAAGAAAUACUAACAGUUAACGAAGGAAUUCAAAAUGAUAUUCAACUUUAACGAUAUAAAUGUUACAAGUGACAAAAGAACUUAUUUUCAAAUAAAACGAUAAAAACAAUUUAAACGGGAAUAUCUGCUUUGAAUUCACUUCACAUACUAAUAUAAAUACAUAGAUUUAUUCCUGCACACGCACAUAAAUAUAGGUACAAAUGUACAAUUAUUUGAUUAUAUUAAUUUAUAAAAUAUAUACAUAUUGCGUAAUUUUCUUUAUGUAUAUACACAGGCAAACACAAAUAUAUAUAUACACGUUAAAUAUGUGUGCCUGUCUAUCUAUCUCUGUUUUUGUCUAUCUAUCUGUCCAUCUCUCUCUCUCUACAUACAUACGGACAUAUAAUAAACGUACACCAAUAUAGGUGUGUAUGUAUAUAUAUAUUGUAUACUAAUAUAUGUGUCUGUGUGCGUGCGUGCGUGCGUGCGCGCAUGAGUAUGUGUAUAUAUACAUGUGUACGUAUACACGUAUAUUAUGUGUGCAUAUAGAAAUAUAUAUAUACACAUAUAUAAACAUAUACACACACAUAAAUAUAUAUACACACACGCACACAACUCAUGCACACAUUCAUAUUCCUAUAUUAAGUUAUACAUGCAUACAUAGAAUAUAUAUCCUUAUCUGUACAUUACAGCAACCAUUGGGUUUAAUUAAAUAUGAUUUUCUCAAUCCUAAUAUAUAUAUUUUGGCGAUUGCUU
rnacentral:lncRNA from 1 species